rnacentral:piRNA from 1 species
UGAGCCAAUUCCCAAGGGCUCCUUGUGCC